rnacentral:lncRNA from 1 species
AGUGAGAGACAUGGGAUGGAGUUGGCCUACGCCGGAAGAGACCACCACCGACAGCCAAGGUAAGUUAGGUUGGACCCGACCCAAUUUCUUAACGGUCAGUGAAUCCAAUUUUCUAUAUCUGUGUUUAUACAUCGACGGAUCGGUGAUGGUUCGAAACGGUAAUUUUCGUAAUUAUGGUGCCAGAGAAGAAUACUCGACCGCCCGUAGACAGACAGAACACGGAAUUUCUCCAUAUUAAUUACGAUCAGAGUAACCACCGAGUUUCUCCUCCACCUACUUAUUAAUGGUGAUUAAAGCUAACCGCUUAUUUUUCUAUCUCAAAUAAUCUCGAAUCUAGUUCCGUGUUUUUAAAUCAACUGGAAUCUAGUACCUAUCUAGUAAAAUGAUUUAAUUAUUGAACCCAACGAUAUUUAGCUGCCGAAAGCAUAGACCUAUGGGUUUCCGUACGGUCGAGCAAAACCUCUCUCUAUCACCAUUAAGUGAUAAAAUGGAAGCAUACCGGUAAAUAUUUUCGAAGCGGCUUUCUAUCUAGUAAUUAACCAGUUUCGAACCAUACACCUAUCCGAUUUUUAUAUCACCGUAAAAUAUACAUUUAGAAAAAUAUCUGUGUAAUGGAAUGAAGGUACCACGUUCAGAAGAGAGAAAAAUGGCGUUAGUUACGAAUAGCGUAGUUUGAUUAGACUGUGUACCGUAGUUUACCAUUGGCGGCCAUAAAAUAGGUCGACCGAAUCUGGAAGUCGGACGCAUUAAUUAUAUCUUUCAUUAAUCAAACGGGUUAAUUGACGGUCACCGACCGACCUAUUGGGUGCCUGCUGGAUUCGGAAAAGUUGCCCCCCUUUUUAAACUGACUAAUUGAAAUAGAUGAUAAAUAGCGGAUCUAUAGUAAGCGCUCGGCUUAUUAAUCGUCUCCCUCGGCUAUGAAUAACCGAAAAAAUAAAUAAGAGACGGGUGAAUAAAUAUACAACGGGCGCGUUUCGUUUCCCAUGCGUCGUCUCGUUAAUUACGCUCUUCCUUAUAACGCUGUUGGUCGAACCGCGCUUAAUGAAGAUAUUUAAUCGGUUAAAUAAAGUAUUGGAAUUUUUGAUAGAGAUUUUCCUGACUCGACCGAUGGAACAAGUCGGUGCGGAAUUCUCGUUAUUUUUUUUUUUGCCCACGCUUUUCUACCAGUAUUUUUCUAUCAUUUGUGCGGAGGUAACCGGUCAUGUGUACUUUAGAUGGAAGAUAUAGCCUUCCACUUAGAGAAAAUGGUAGGUGUUUAAUUUUUAAAGCUCCGGCCGACGACAAAAGAAUGCCGACCGAUUGUUCGAAACUGGUAAAAAUGACGCUUACCGAGGAGUUCUUAACAACGCCAUCACCGAAAAUUAGCCACGCACAUCCUCCGAAGUACCGCCCAUCGGCUCAUUACAGUUAGAACAAUAGUCGAAAACCGGAGAUAAAAAAGAGGAAUGCCUAGGCCAAUUCCAGACACAGAUAAAAAUUUCCUGCUCGCAUUCGUAUCGGACUACACACACACAUACUUUAUCUAACAACUAUUAGUCUGCCAAACGGAACAAUGUCGUGACACCCGAGAAGCCGGUUCAAAGGUAGUCGACCCAUCCGGCUAGAGUGAGAACACGGGUCCGUGUCCUUACAUACAUUAGUUGGGUGGAUUCGUGACCGACCUCGCCGAGAGAUAAGACACAGCGGGGCCGUUUGUUUAGUCGGAAUAGCCCGAAAACUAGACGAACAGCGAGAGAAAAAUGUAACCGUGUCGGCCACCUGUUUCUGGUGGCGUUCCAUACACUAAAUUUUGUACCAUCGUAAUGGUGGCCAUUUUGAAACCGAUCGGAUCUAGCCAAUAACCGGGUCA